UACGGAGGGUGCAAGCAUUAAUCGGAUUUAUUGGGCGUAAAGGGCGCGUAGGCGGGGGUGCAAGUCAGAUGUGAAAUCCCGGGGCUCAACCUCGGAACAGCAUUUGAAACUACAUCUCUAGAGGGUAGGCGGAGAAAACGGAAUUCCACAAGUAGCGGUGAAAUGCGUAGAUAUGUGGAAGAACACCGGUGGCGAAGGCGGUUUUCUAGCUUAUUCCUGACGCUAAAGCGCGAAAGCAAGGGGAUCAAACAGG
rnacentral:rRNA from 1 species